GGGAGCCCAGGGCAAAGGCCCCUUUAACCCCUGGAGGGAGGAAGGGAGCUUAGUCUGUGGUUCCCCAGGAAAGUUGAGUUUCCGCUACUCGGGGACUACUGGCUCCCAGACUGCAACCAAGUCUGGAAACACAAAAGUGAGGGUAGUCUCUAAGGCCACAGUGGGAGGACUGAAAGGAACGGAGGAAGAGACUUCUUGAACAGAUGUGAGUCCUAACACUGCUUACUGUAGUUUUCUCCAAUAAUAAAUCCGGCUCUCUAGAACCAGCCCUGCGCUGUUCCAGCAAAAUCUGCCUAGGAAAGACAGCGCUCCAGUGUGCGGAGCUGGCUCUGAACUGCUACACUCCCCAGGGCUUCGGCAGUAGAAGCCGGUGAUUGGAAGUUUGCAAGCUCAGAUUUCCUUGCCUCAACCUACUUCCAACCUGCAGUACUUUGAACUACAGCAAAAGCGAAUUUUCCCCCAUCGAUGGAUACCCGCUAGAGAGAUCUGUUGAAGGACCGGGGAAGAAAAGUCCUUCCUGGUCUUGCAUCCCCUAAGAGAGUUUUGAUGAGGCUCUAAUGAAAGGAAAGCACCCCUUUUGUCGCAGUAAAUACCAGGGAGCCUCCGAACCCACCAAGCCACUGGCCUUCCUGUCCUGCUUGCAACUUCUCCAGCGGCAGGCUCAAUCUGUUAGGCACAAGUUUUUGGGGGGAUUUCGUGGCCAGUCUUCCCUAUCUGGGUUCCAACGUGUCUCAGCAUAAGUUGUUGAAGCAAAUUAAAGAAAGUGGAACUUUAAAAAGGCUUUUUAAAAAA